UACAGAGGUGGCAAGCGUUGUUCGGAAUUACUGGGCGUAAAGGGCGCGUAGGCGGCCUUCUAAGUCAGACGUGAAAUCCCCCGGCUUAACCUGGGAACUGCGUCUGAUACUGGGAGGCUAGAGUGCGGGAGAGGGAUGCGGAAUUCCAGGUGUAGCGGUGAAAUGCGUAGAUAUUGGGAGGAACACCAGUGGCGAAGGCGGCUACCUGGACCGGUUCUGACGCUGAGGCGCGAAAGCGUGGGUAGCAAACAGG
rnacentral:rRNA from 1 species